CACAGAUUGAACGUGCCUGUGACUGAGUGAAGGUGAUGGUGAUUACCUAUCCAGGUAAACCCGCCUUUAGCCUGAUUGACAGCUGGGACAGACGUCAUUCUUCAACAUGGCUGUGACCUGUGACAUGGCUGGAGGACUGAGCAGUAGAAUUUGAGUGAGUGAAUGCCAUUGGUUGGGAGCAAGCUGUCCGCCCAAUCAGAGCAGAAGAGGCGGGCUGUAGCGGCGGUUCCGUAGGAGAACGAGGGAACAGAAACUAGCAGCGCUGAGAGAUUGGCCUAGAACGUGCAACACAUUUUAAUGAAUAGGCUGUGACCCCGGAACAUGAAAUCAGUCUGUGUACUAUCAUCGUGUUUCAUUAAGGUGCUUCUUGCUAUUAGCGUACUAAUUAGCUACUACUAUUAGCACCGAUUAGUUAGCACUGUUAAUGCUAGCUAUGCUCAGCUAACAUUAUUAGCACAGCAGUAGCACAUGUUAGCGUGCAAAGUCCCACACCUUUCUGGGGGUGUUCUGGAAAAUAGAAAAGAAGUGGAGGCUUCCUGUUCCCACCCUAUGUACUGUAGUUGAUGUCUUUUAUCUGAUGCCUGUUUGGCAUCUGGCCUCCCUCUGCCGUCUUCUACCGUACUACCUCUGUACCCCUCCUCAUUUGGUGUAGCAUCCCAACCCCCCUAUACAAUGUGGGGAGCACUCCCAACAUGGCUGCUGGAAAGGAACUGGAAGGAGUUAAGUUUCAUAACCUGAUGGGCUCUCGCUUAACAUCAAAUGCAGCAAAUAAGAUCAGAAUUCAUUACAGAGAGUAAAGUGAUGAGAAGCAGACACACAGCAGAGGGUGAUGGGGACAAGCUGCAGGUCCAGCCACAGCCCACAGAGUGUGUGAUGUCUGUAUGGAAACACACACACAGGCAUGCAGAAUUCACAGAUGCAUCAGGGCUCGGGACUCCCUCAUAUGACGUCCAGC
rnacentral:lncRNA from 1 species